rnacentral:tRNA from 1 species
GCGGCGGUGGUGUAAGGCAUCGCUGUUCGGAAAGCAGAAGGUGCAGGUUCGAGUCCCGCCUGUCGCA